CCGCGGCCGCCGCCGUCUGGAGGCGGCGAUGACUCAGGCCUUUCCCGCGGCCGCUCUCGGAGGGCUCGCCCCGGAGAAGCGCAGAACCUGGCGGUGGAAGUGGGGUUCAAGGACUGUCUCUGAGCCCGACCACCCCGAGAGGCAGAUUCUACACCUACGUGACCUCCAGCAGUGACUGCUCCUCUCUGCCUCAGUUUCCUCAUUUGCAAAAUGGGUGGUUGUGAGGGCUGAUGGCUCUGUUACAGGUAAAUGGUUUGGCUGCCCUGAGAACCAAGUGAUCUAUCGAACAUCAACUACACCCCAGAGAGCAACAGACAAAAAUGCCUACCUUCGCGGAGCUGUGGGCACUGAGCCAGUGGAUCCUGAUGCAGAAAACAUCUCAAAAAGUGUCUCUUCCUCUCCUCACCAUCAUUCUGAGCAUCAUGCCGGAGAACCACUGAAAGAAAUGGGGGCCAGGGUGCAGUGGUGCACACCUGUAAUUCUAGAGGCUCGGGAGACUGAGGCAGGAGGAUCAUGAGUUCAAAGCCAGCCUCAGCAAAGUCCACAAGGAGGAACCACGGUGCACCCACCAGAGAGUCCAAAAGGAAAGAGAGGCGCGCAGGUGUUGAGGAGGAUGCGCAGCCGCCGACGGCUCCCCCUGCCGGUGGGAGAGGGAACUGCGGCUCUCUCUGGAAGAGUCUUUGGGGUUCUGAAAGCCUGUUCAGAGGACCUCCACUGAGCCAGCAGUUCCAUUCCUAGACUUACAGAGUGGAGCCUCGACAUCUUCGGAUUCCCUACUGACAAACUUGCCUAUUUGAUACAACUUAUUUAUAUGUCUAAGUCCAACUGCUGGGACUUUUUUGGUAAUUUGUGGCCAUGUGCAGAGUAUCAAAAUGUUGCUGGACUGGGCACCGGUUCCCAGCUGAGGCUGAACAACCAGAUAGCUCUGUUUCAUACUAUAAACGAGCACAUUUUUAACAGUCUACUUAGUGUCCUGUUUUCCACACUUCUGUGCGUUUUGCUGGCGACUUCAUGUCCUUGAAUGUUACCCUCCGCAGGGUCCGAGGUGCUGUGUAGUGGUCCUCGGUGCAAGGCUCUGAGAAAAGCCACGUGUUAGAUAAACUUUAUUUGGGUGUGAGUUAUAAUGCUGGUGGCCAUGAGUUCCAUAUUAAUGAAUCAAAUUUUCAAAGUUUUAAAAAGAAAUGCACGUCAAAUGGCAUUAUCUCUUAUUCCACUAAUAAAAAUGUUGUGACUUGAGCUUGCAGACAGAGUGACAUGUGUUUGCAAGGAUGUAGACCACUAGGGCACCCUAGCUGGGGACGUUAAAGGGUGCAGCUGCUGAGGAAAACAGCUCAGAGGGCCCUCAAAAAUAUACAUGGGGGCUGUGGCUGUAGCUCAGUGAGAGAGCACUUGCCUAGCAUGGGUGAGGCCCCAGGUUCAAUCCUUAGCACCACAUAAAAGUAAAUAAAUAAAAUAAAGGUUAAAUUUUUAAAAAAUAAAUAAGUAUGGAAUUGCUAUAGGAUCCACAGACUCCACUCUGGGGUAUAGACAUAAGGGAAUCAAAAGCAAGUCCUCAGCAAGAUAUUUGCACACCCAUCUUCUCAGUAGCAUUACCCGUAAUAGCCAAGAGGCGGAAGCCAGCCGAGUGUCCAGGUACAGAUCAACAAAAUGUGGGCAUCCUUAUGAUGCAAUAUGAUUCAGCCUUCAAAAGGAAGGAAAUAAUCCUGUGGACACGGAUGAACUGUGAGGACAGUAUGCCAAGGGAAAUAAGCAGUCACAAAAAGACAAACCAUGUGUGGUCCCUCUUUUUUUAAAAAAAAAAAUAUUUUUUUUAGUUGUAGAUGGACUCAAUAUCUUUAUUUAUUUAUUUGUAUGUGGUGCUAAGGAUCAAACCCAGUGCCUCACAUCCGAGGCAAGUGCUCUACCACUGAGCCACCAUCCCAGCCCUGCGGGGUCCCUCUUACAGGUGAUUCUAUAAAGACAUCAAUCAACAAUCUAAUUCAUACAAACAGAAAUCAGAAUGGAGGGUACCAGGAGUGGGAGGGAGGGGGAUCAGGAAGUGAUUAAUAGGUACAGAGUUUCAGUUCUGCACGAUAAAAUGAGUUUAACUGGUUGCACAAUAGUGUGAAUUUUCUUAAUAUUACUGAACUGAAUACCUGGAAAUGGUGAUGAUGGUAAAUUAUAUAUUAUUUGUAUUUUACCCACAAUUUAAAAUUUUAAAAAUCUUUCAUUUGAACUCUCUCUUCCCUGCCCACCGCUGUCUCUCCUAUGACUUACUGUCAGCUCAAUAAAUUCUAAGACCCUUAA